AACAAAGAUAAGAUAUUCCGCCACGCCUGUCAGGUCUCUCGACCAACGACCAGAGUCUCUGGAAAGGAUGACCGGGAACCGGUCAACUGUUCGUUGUCGUAGAAACCUGAUAGGAGUGCGUCGGGCUCUCGUCGGUGUGGU
rnacentral:precursor_RNA from 14 species